CCUACGGGAGGCAGCAGUGAGGAAUAUUGGUCAAUGGGCUUACGCCUGAACCAGCCAAGUCGCGUGAGGGAAGACUGCCCUAUGGGUUGUAAACCUCUUUUGUCAGGGAGCAAUUGGCGCUACGUGUAGCGUUAUCGAGAGUACCUGAAGAAAAAGCAUCGGCUAACUCCGUGCCAGCAGCCGCGGUAAUACGGAGGAUGCGAGCGUUAUCCGGAUUUAUUGGGUUUAAAGGGUGCGUAGGCGGAAUGCCAAGUCAGCGGUAAAAUCGCGGGGCUCAACCUCGCUCCGCCGUUGAAACUGGUUUUCUUGAGUGAGCGAGAAGUAUGCGGAAUGCGUGGUGUAGCGGUGAAAUGCUUAGAUAUCACGAAGAACCCCGAUUGCGAAGGCAGCUUACUAAACUGUGACUGACAUUGAUGCUCGAAAGUGUGGGUAUCAAACAGGAUUAGAUACCCGAGUAGUC
rnacentral:rRNA from 1 species